rnacentral:rRNA from 1 species
AUUGAACGCUGGCGGCAUGCCUUACACAUGCAAGUCGAACGGUAACAGGUUAAGCUGACGAGUGGCGAACGGGUGAGUAAUACAUCGGAACGUGCCCAGUAGUGUGGGAUAGCCCGGCGAAAGCCGGAUUAAUACCGCAUACGACCUAAGGGUGAAAGGGGGGGAUCGCAAGACCUCUCGCUAUUGGGGCGGCCGAUGUCAGAUUAGCUAGUUGGUGGGGUAAAAGCUCACCAAGGCGACGAUCUGUAGCUGGUCUGAGAGGACGACCAGCCACACUGGGACUGAGACACGGCCCAGACUCCUACGGGAGGCAGCAGUGGGGAAUUUUGGACAAUGGGCGCAAGCCUGAUCCAGCCAUGCCGCGUGCGGGAAGAAGGCCUUCGGGUUGUAAACCGCUUUUGUCAGGGAAGAAAUCCUUUGGGUUAAUACCUCGGGGGGAUGACGGUACCUGAAGAAUAAGCACCGGCUAACUACGUG